rnacentral:rRNA from 1 species
AGUGAACGCUGGCGGUAGGCCUAACACAUGCAAGUCGAACGGCAGCACAGUAAGAGCUUGCUCUUACGGGUGGCGAGUGGCGGACGGGUGAGGAAUACAUCGGAAUCUACUUUUUCGUGGGGGAUAACGUAGGGAAACUUACGCUAAUACCGCAUACGACCUACGGGUGAAAGCAGGGGAUCUUCGGACCUUUCGCGAUUGAAUGAGCCGAUGUCGGAUUAGCUAGUUGGCGGGGUAAAGGCCCACCAAGGCGACGAUCCGUAGCUGGUCUGAGAGGAUGAUCAGCCACACUGGAACUGAGACACGGUCCAGACCCCUACGGGAGGCAGCAGUGGGGAAUAUUGGACAAUGGGCGCAAGCCUGAUCCAGCCAUACCGCGUGGGUGAAGAAGGCCUUCGGGUUGUAAAGCCCUUUUGUUGGGAAAGAAAAGCAGCAGGUUAAUACCCCGCUGUUCUGACGGUACCCAAAGAAUAAGCACCGGCUAACUUCGUG